GUCACCUUCCAGAGCCUUCCUGCCCUUCAGGACAUCAACUCUCCCACCCAAUACCAACUUGCAUCCAGGUCUGGCUGACAGACCUGUAGUUCCCCAGAUCCUCCUUUUGGCCCUUCCUGUGGACUGACAGUCUAUUUGCCAGCCUCCAUUUGUCUGGGGCCUGCCUGGUGAGCCAGGACUGAUGAUAAAUGAUUGAAAGUGGAUUGGUGAGCUUUUCCAUCAGCCCCUGCUGUGCCCUGAGGUGAAGUCCAUCCAGCCCCAUAGAACAGUGUGUGUUUAAGUGGUGCACAGACAAAGCUGAAGAGGGCUAAGGAGAAUCCUGUUUAAUUCUUCAGUCAGCUGUGAAAUGUGAAGGGCUGGUACUGCACCUUUAGAGUUGCACAUCUUGAAAAGGUGUAAGAUUGAGCAGGGAUCUUUUCCAGGAGGAUACUCAUCUGUUUCGCUUGAAAAGCUGGCAGGGACCAUGAGUGCGAGAAGGUAGAUUGAGAGGAAAAGGAAAUUGAACCAGUGCAGUGGGGUUGCAUUAAUAACCAUGAGAAUAAAGUACUCAUACUGUUUUUGAAAAGGAUAUU